rnacentral:rRNA from 1 species
UGGGGAAUAUUGCGCAAUGGACGAAAGUCUGACGCAGCGACGCCGCGUGAGGGAUGAAGCUUUUCGGAGUGUAAACCUCUGUUGCCCGGGACGAACAUCCUCUUUCGAGAGGACUGACGGUACCGGGUGAGGAAGCACCGGCUAACUCUGUGCCAGCAGCCGCGGUAAUACAGAGGGUGCGAGCGUUGUCCGGAAUCACUGGGCGUAAAGGGCGCGUAGGUGGCUGGGUAAGCGUGCGGUGAAAGUUCGGGGCUCAACCCCGAAUCGGCCGUGCGGACUGCCUAGCUCGAGCAUAGUAGAGGCAGGUGGAAUUCCGGGUGUAGCGGUGGAAUGCGUAGAGAUCCGGAAGAACACCGGUGGCGAAGGCGGCCUGCUGGGCUAUUGCUGACACUGAGGCGCGACAGCGUGGGGAGCAAACAGG